GAUGAACGCUAGCUACAGGCUUAACACAUGCAAGUCGAGGGGUAACAAGAGAAAAGCUUGCUUUUCUUGUUGACGACCGGCGCACGGGUGAGUAACGCGUAUCCAACCUGCCUAUAACUAGGGAAUAACCUUGCGAAAGUAAGACUAAUACCCUAUGAUUUCCUUUGAUGACAUCAGAUUAGGAAUAAAGAUUUAUCGGUUAUAGAUGGGGAUGCGUCUGAUUAGCUUGUUGGCGGGGUAACGGCCCACCAAGGCAACGAUCAGUAGGGGUUCUUCGAGAAAGGUCCCCCACAGUGGAACUGAGACACGGUCCAAACUCCUACGGGAGGCAGCAGUGAGGAAUAUUGGUCAAUGGGCGGAAGCCUGAACCAGCCAAGUAGCGUGCAGGAUGACGGCCCUAUGGGUUGUAAACUGCUUUUAUACAGGAAUAAAGUUAGCCACGUGUGGUUAUUUGUAGGUACUGUAUGAAUAAGGACCGGCUAAUUCCGUGCCAGCCGCCGCGGUAA
rnacentral:rRNA from 1 species